CUUUAUUUCAUGUCUGUUUCAGCAGUAUUGAAAUAUAGGUUUCUCAUACGUGCAAUUCUUUUAUAGAUUCAAAAGUGAGGUGUUGUGUGAAUGUUACAAAUCAUAACAUGAUCCAAAUUUAUAAGAAAGUACUUUAAAAAUCAGACAAAAGACUUAAGAAUUACUAUGUUAAAUUUCUAAUCCAAAUGUAAAACAAGAAUACAGGAUAUUGGCAAUGCUAAUAUUCAAAAUGGGUUUACCCCAGUUCAUAAUUCCUCUGCUCCCCUCCUACCUAAAAUCUAAGAAAGUAUUCAUUAUAAAUUGGAAGUACAGAAUUCUUAAAAAGCCAACUGGAUGCUGAGUUGUAUGAUUUUCUUUACAGGUACAAUUUACUUUUCAGCAACCUGUAAGCCAUGGAAAGAGUAAC
rnacentral:lncRNA from 1 species